rnacentral:lncRNA from 1 species
ACUGGUGAUUGCUCCAAUUUUUACCUUUUGUGCCUGUUGCUUUCCUUGAUUUGUGCUACAGAAACAAGUCACCAGGCCCUUCAGAACAUGCCCAAAGUGCUCCGUGAUGUUGAAGCUCUUAAACAGGAGGCAUCUUUUCUAAAAGAACAAAUGAUUCUUGUCAAGGAAGACAUUAAAAAAUUUGAACAGGACACAUCGCAGUCGAUGCAGGUAUUUCGGCUCCUGCCCUAUGUGGGGAUUCUGGUUUUUGGAAGGGGUUCACUCUCACAGGGGGUGUUGGACAGCACAGCAUUGCCAAAAGCCAG